AUGUGUGCCAGGGCUCCCACCACUGCCCUCCCUCGGAUUAAUCCUUGGCCCAUGUGCUGGCCAAUAUCCUGGCACCAGAGCUUCCUGCCUUUCUUUGGGUUUUGCUUCUUCCCAUCCCAGAAGUCUACCAGGCAACUAGCAUCAAUCAUUUAUAACAAAUGGAAUCUGCUCCCCAAAGAGGAGACAAGGAAGGACAACUCCCACAUGCUCGCUGGCCAGGACUGCAUAUUUCCAGAAUUUUCUCAAAGAACAUACAGAAAGGCAGAGAUAAGAAGAAGGGCCCAAAAGAAUCUUAUUCUCAGCGUUAAAAUGGCAUCAGGUUAGCAGCCAGACAUGGAGGGAAGAGGCAGGACAGGAGAAUGUUCCACUCUAAAACCACCGUUUCCUUCAGAUGUUUAUAAGAAUCAGAAUAAAAGAACUUAGAAAUCAGCAUUGCUGGGAAGAACCUGGCAUUCCUUUGGCGAAACAGUCCUUGGGUUAGGGUGGCAGUGUGCUGGGCAGUGUAGACAGCACCUUUUUAGACUCCAGAGCGCCUGAGUUCUGGUGUCAGUCUUAUCUGCAGUCAGCAGGCUGGUUCAAAGUAAGUCCCUUUACUUCUCUGAGAGUCAGCGAUACCGAGCACAGAAGUCCAUCCAGAUGGAAGUGGGAGAAGUGAUUCCUUAAAGUCAUGAGGGACAAAAUGGGAUUGAGGACCCAUGUGUGGCUUGAGUGGAGGAAACAGGGUGCCUCAGGUUAUGGGAAAUGCCUGCCUAAGGAGCCCUUGGGACAUUCCUGUGUGUGACCCGUGCCAUUAGUAUUCCAACAACCAAAUCUGCAGUAUUCAAAGGAGGACAAUUUGUGCAGUGUGCUGCAUGCUGCUCCUGUAAAGAAACCAGUAUGUACAGGAGGUGGUAAAUCCCCAUGCAGUGCUCAGAUGGACAGGUGUCCUACCUCUUGGGUUACAAUAACAUCUGUCAAAAUGCUGUGGCCUCGAAUCUGAGCAUCCUUUUCCACCUGGUGACUACCUUUGACCUUAGAUGAACUGUGCAUGGGCGUCAUUCAAGAAAAUCAAAACACAGAGUCCUAAAAAGGUUGAGUUUAGGGUUUCCUGUAGUUCUUCUCACAGAAACAUUGUCUUGAUAACUCUAUACCCUACCCUUGCCCCAAAGCAGUGAUUUUGUGUAGAACUGAGAUGGUUUAGUUUGAUCAGAAACUCUAUAACAAAUACACCCAAGUACAUAGAAAAGGAAAGUUGGCGGGUGUUCCACGGGAAGAAAACAAGUGAGCUUUCUCCUUAUAGCACUCUUAUAAAUGACGAGUAACUCUCUUUGGCAACUGGAGUCCCCGGGCUCAGAGAGUAUCUUCAAGCCCAGGUGGAGCUCACCACCCGGCCUGCUCUGAGCAGUGUGGCUGAGGAGGUUGGGGCGUGCGAGGCCUCCAGAUCGCAGGCCUGUCCUCCAGCCAGGGAGCCAGGCUCAGAGCACGGCCAGUGGUGAAGAGGUCUGAGGCUCCUUGGCCCUUCCACUGCACAGCAGGGCCUCCUGACUCAGUCUCCCCACUGUGUGUUUCACGUACAGCCCGGUGCUGUGGAUGUGUGAAAGCCACGGCCACCGAAAAGCCAGCCCUACACAGAUGUGAGCCAUGCACUGACUCAACAAAUGGUUACUGAGCACCCCACGCAUGUCAGGAGCAGGGGCUGGCACAGGGCAGGAGCGAGAGGCUCCCCUGGAAAAAAGAAAGAGUGGACUACUCAGAGAUGGAAGCACAAUCCUGAGCAAGAGCGGCUGGCCCUCAAGAGAGGACCCUGGGAGCACACUCUCAGCCUCACCCUAAGAAAGCCUGACGCCGCCAGGCAGCUUCUCUGGCCUGAGAGGCCUCUGUCUCCCAUGGGUGGAGGAGGAGGGGACUCUCCUUAGCUCUGCCAAGGAAGCUGCCAUCGGGACCACAGGAUGGACUUGCACCAGGACAAGAUGUGGGGACGCGCGCUCUGAUUUCACGUCCUCAUGUAGUGCAGUGGAAAUGAAUAUUUAAAGGUAUGGAGUCACAAAACUGAGGGACACAAGGAAGACAUCAGCCUUCGAGGCCUGGCUGCCCCACGCUGCUCGGCAAGGUGAGUAUGUUUAUUGCUCCUCAACUGCUUUCUGCUCAUUCACUGAAAUGCCACACCCAAAAAGCGGCAUCGUGCCCUUCACCCUGGAAAUUUAGAGUCAGCGAGAGAGCUCAAGCUCUGGGGCUGAGGGGAGCAAAGGUGCAGCCAGGCUGCUGGGCCCAAGCGAGCCCCUGCUCUGCCCUGCUCAGGCCACCCGAGGCUCUGGUUCUGAACAUGGCUGCCCAGGACAGGGGCUGAGACAGGAAGCAGUCCUCGGGGCCAGCCAGCAGACGGGUCAAAAGAAAGCAAGUUUAUGUUCCAUUCUCUUAUUUAAGUUAUUUUCUUGUUGCAGUAGUUAGAAAAAUACUUUCAACUAGAGUUGCCCAAGUUUUAGUUCAGUGUUUUCUUCUGCAUGUAUAUAUUAAACUAUUAACUCCUAAAUACAGUGUUUUCAUACAGAGCCACCUGUGUGCAGACUACACAGACAGACAUAGGCACUCAUCUUCCAAACACACAUGCACAGCCACGUUGGCUUCUGUAGACAGCCUACCCUGAGCGUGAGCUUCACCUAAGCUCUCCCAUGCCACCUGGACGCUCACACCCUUCACAUUUCAUGAGGAUGAAGCUCUGGGAGACAGCCUGCUCUCCUGCAGCCUUCCUGAGGCAUGGUUUAGGACAAUCAGAGAAGCCUCCGUGCUGGGCUCUGCCAAUGUAGCAGCCACCACAGAACUCUCUGUUGCUGACGACCCCAGGAGGCCGAAU
rnacentral:lncRNA from 1 species